GUUCAUUGUUCAGGAGGUUCACUAGACCAAGCAGCCUUUUGGGUUCCUCUAAGUUUCCAUGUUUGAGGAAAUAUUCUGUGUUGUUGUGCUGAGUAUUGCUGCUGUGGAGGUCUAAGGUGUUUAUUGAUAUGGAUCCCAUCAUACGUUUUACAUUGUUCAGGAGGUUCACUAGACCAAGCAGCCUUUUGGAUUCCUCUAAGUAAGUACUGUAUAGAAUAAUGGGACUGGGAGGAUGGUGUAGGUUCAAAUUUAUUAGACA